rnacentral:tRNA from 1 species
GGCAGCAUGGCUCAAGUGGUAAAGCACCUGUCUAGCAAGCUUGAUGCCUUGAGUUCAAUCCCUAGUACUGCCA